rnacentral:lncRNA from 1 species
UAGGCAUGAGCCACCAUGCCCAGUAAGGGUAACAGAUAUUUAAAAAUUAUUUAUUUCCAUAAAUUGACAUUCUCUGACUGUUUUAUACAUGAAACCAGUAUAUCUCACUUUACACAAUACAUACAUUUCUGGAAAAUUGUAUUUAGAUCUUAUUUUGCUAAAUCAGGUAAUUUUAAAUGUGCCAGUUCUAUAAAAUGAGACCGAAAUUUUGAAAAUGAAAAUAUUCAUUUAAUACAAAUAAUUUAUCUUAUUUUAUUUAUUUUUCUCUGUUGUUACCUUGAGAAAACAUAGGUAGUGUUCAUUAACUGCAGUCUAGAUGUACUUUCAUUUUCUUGUUCUAACUAUACUGUAUAUUGCAGAUAUUUUAGUACAACAUCUUUUCAUCACAGAAAUGAUAUCUUCAGGGAAAAGACUUCGAAAAAGUGCCUGAAGUGACACAACACAUGUUUUCUUCUGGUAUCUGGCUAAAAGAAACAAAGAACGUUAUGCACUUUCUAGAAUAACAAAAUGCAAAUGUAAUAUUAUCUACCAGGAAAAGAGUAGAUAAGUAGAUACACCAAAUAUUUGGAUUUAGUUCACUUUUAUGAUAAUUUUUUUUACUUAUUAGUCAUGUCUGAUCUUUGUAUACCAGCAUUCUAAUAACACAUAAAUUAUUACACAAAUUAAAGCAAAGAAGUACCACAGUUGGUAAAUUUGAAGCUUCUGAAGACUUCUCACUUUAGGAAUUAAUCUAGGCAGUUUUGGCUUAGAAACACAUUUUUUGUGAAAAAUUUUUAGCAGUUUAAGAGAAGUUGUAGGUAGCCCUCUUCUCAUUCAGUAUAGCCCUCAACUUGCUGCUAAGAGCUUUAACAAUUUUUGCAGGAUCUCACUUGAGUAUUUUAGGUUCAGAUGGAACAAUUCUUAUCACUUUUAUGAAUCAGAUGUUUUAAAAUUCAAAUUUAGAUUGAUGUUAUAUGUUAACACCGUCUAUAACAUCUGCCUACACCCUCGGAAGGGACCUAUGAAAUAUUAACUAGCCAAGGAAUCCUUUUCUGACUGUGGGCUUUUCUGUAGGAAUGAAAUCUGGCAGAAAUAUUUAAUGAAGAGGAAUCUGAACAUAGCAGUUGAGAAAGAAAGAUUGGGAGAAGACUCCAGAUGUCGUAAAGCAAAGAGAGGAUGAGGCACAGGAAGCAGCUCUUAUUAUUUCUGUUGCACUUUGGCUCAGAGAACUCCAAGCAAUUGAUUCUAUCCUGAGGACAUAUUUUUUCAAUUUGAGAUAUAAUUAAUUUGUUUUCCAGUAAAAUAGAUAUUAGUAGAUCUAUGACAUACAGGAAACAAUCGAAAAUAGAGAUAAGUGGUAAUAAUACCUCAUUACUUAAGACAUCUUUUUCAGAAAAUUAUUCUUCAGUGUGUGGUGCAUUGGCUUUCUAGGAAAGAACGGGAGGGAGAACCCUGCUGACAUGAAUAAUGGCCUGGGGGAGAGGGGGAGAGAAGCAAGAGAAAGGAGCAGUUAAGAGGAAAAUGAUGUCAUAUGGAAAGAAGGAAAUAGAUCAGGGCGUCUUUAAGAGCUAAUAUCAAUUGGGUUUAGUGUCUGUAUUUAGAGGAUGGGAGAGAAGAGGUAUCAUCUAGGGUUUUGGCUUGGGCCACAGGUAGAUCUUGUUAAGGCUGUACGAAAUAGAAAAUCCAGGAGGUAACGCAGGUGUGUGGGGGAAAUGAUACAAAUGUAAAUCAUACAAGGAUAUGAACCCUGUAGAUUUUACAACUUUGAGCUCUAUCCUUCUUAGGCCUUCUCUUCUAAGCAGCAUAAACUACUGCUGCCUACAUGUUGCCUGUUCAUAAAGGCUGAGGCAGGGGAGUCGCUUGAACUCGGGAGGCGGAGGUUGCAGUGAGCCGAGAUCAUGCCAUUUCCCUCCAGCCUGGCGACAGAGCAAGACUCCAUCUCAAAAAAAAGAAAAGAGAAGAAAAAAACAAAGAACUUUAUGCACCUUCUGGAAUAACAAAAUGCAAAUGUAAUGUUAUCUACCAGGAUAGAAAUUGGAGGCUAGAAUAUGUUGGGUAGGGUAGAGAGACUAGAGGGAAUGAUUUAGCAAUAAAAUAGGUUUAAAUAUCUUCUCACGUGCCCAGACUUAAUUAGCUUUGUAUUAUUCCUAUUAGUAAGCCAGGAAUUAGUACUAGGUGAUAAGCAAGGAUGUGCAGGGCCUUGUGAGGAAAAGAGUUACUGUAGCAGUUCUGGAUGCUUACCCCUUGCAUGUCUCCAGGGGAACCAUCUUUGACCUUGGCCAACCCCUGGAUUGCAAUCCUUGGAGUGUUCUUUAUGUUAGUGAUGAUGAUUUUGUUGUAUACACCUGGAGCAUUGGACCAUUCCAUACUGGCUCGCCAGGUUGCGUUGCACAAACACCAAGACUGAUAAAUAGGCACCUGGUUUUAUUAUUGGGCCCCUGAGUUUUGGUUGCCGUAGCCAAUUCCAUAGCAGAGUAUGAGUACAUGAACAGCCUCCCACAAAAGCCUUAAACCCUGAGACUCAAGUGGGAUUCUGUGGGCAGAGACAUUCCACACGUGUCUAUAGUUUGCUGAGAGAGAGACAGAAUUCCUGUGUAGCUGCAGACAAAGGACAACAGAAUCCUAUGUUGGACCUCUCUGGACUCCACUGAUACAUCUUUUCCUGUUGCUUUUGCCCUGUAUCCUUUGCUGUCAUUAAUCUGAGCCACGUAUUAAUAUAUAACCUGCUAUUGAGUCUUGUGAGGCCUUCUGGGAUCACCAAAGGAAACAACCAUAUACCUAGUACUGAAGAGAUUUUUUUAAAAGCCCAAUUUGUCCAUCUGAGUCUUGAUAGGAUUCACUGAAAAAGAAUAAUCAACAUAUGUGAGUAUCUGCAGUGUCGAGGUUUAAAUGAAAUCAAGGCUUUGGUCUUUGUCCAUGAGACAUUUAUAGUCUUUAUAGGGACAUGACACAUGUUAGGGAAAUGCUUAUAAGCAUAAGUAUAAAUAAAAGCAAAUUGGCAAUGAUGGCAGAAUUAAAGAGAGAUUAAAAUUGGUAAAAAUCAAGCAAGGCUAAUGAAAGAUGGUAGGUAUUUAAGAAGAGAUAUAGGACUGCAUUAUCAAAUGAUAGCCAUAAUUUUCCCCCAUAUGUACUUUAGCAGUAUGUAAAAACUGUAAAACAAAAAACUUUUUUCUUGGAUUUUAUCUGAUAUAUUCCAGGCUCAACUCAAGUUUGAUGAAUUAUUUGUACGGAAUCUAAAUUUGUACUAAAUCAAAAUUUAAGUGUUUUAUGCAACAAUUUUUUAUGAGCCCUCCAGUUACGGAUUUCAGCUGUGGGAUAAUGUUCUCAUGUGUUAUUAUCCCAGAGACUCCAUGCCAAGUCCUGUUAUAAUUAGUCACACCUGAUAAUUCCUUCAGUUGUGUGGUUAAGCUGCUCGUGUCCAAAGCAGUUUACCUGAACUACACAUGUGCAGGGCAGACUCUAAGCAGCCAAGAUUAAGAAGGAACUUUGAAGGUUCUGCUUCCUGUAAUGGCCAGAUAGCUCCUGUCAGAUCAGUGUUCCUGCAAAUAACAGCUAUACAUUCUGAACAGAAUUUAAAAAUCUACCAAAAGGCACUGGAGAGCAAGAAAAAGAAGGCAAAUUCUGGAUGGGAGUCCACACUUGGAAGAAGGAAAUAGCAGUUCAUGAGUUUCAUCAUAUAAGAAUGUCAUUUAGCCUGGGGGCAGGCCCUCAUCAGUACCAUGUGGAAUGACUAUAACUUUCAAACUUGCAGACUUACUGGCUUGAAGAGCCAGAGGUUGGAGUCCAGGACAACCACAGGUGGUGUAUGGUCUAAAGUUAAUACCAUGUAUUGCCUUGAUAUCUGGUAAAAUCAGGAGGCCCUUGAAUGGCCUAACUACAAGUUCCUGUCCACACUCCACUCCUUAGCUCAAGGAUCAGGCACAUUUCCUGCUUAUUCCUGAGUCACAGGUUUUAGUUCCCUGACAGCUUAUGGAAUUAUUCAUCCACACCAGUCACGUCCUCCCUCAGGAACCAGGAGCGACCUCAUCCUCUUGAUACUACAAAGCCUGCACCCGUGGUUGUUCUCUAUUUCCAAGUGCAGGCCCCACCUGGCCCCGUGUGGAGUGGGUGUUCUCUGCUAGGCUGUGAGUAUAUGUGACUAGUACACUGCUGUCAGUCUCAUCUGUGUAGUGUCUUGUGUUGUGUUUAGCUUAUUCCCAUAGCCUUACAGUAGAAAUCCCUCCCUCACCAAAGAGGCGAGGAGGAGGGAUGCAAACGCACAGCAAUGGGAAGUAGAGGAGAAAUCACAGAAAAGAGAGAUUCACAAAGGAGGAGCCUUAAAGACUAUAUAGAAAAUGCCCAAAUUUCUUGCCGAACCUAAACUACACAUGUGCACAGCAGACUCCAAGCAGCCCAUAUAAGCCUUAAAUAACUGAACUGAGAAGUUUGAGUUCAUCCAAGUGUCCAGGUUAGAAUCUAAAAUUACUAGGCAUACGAAAAAAUAAGAAAAUGUGACUCAAAGUCGAUCAGUUAUCCCAGGAUGAACCAGAUGUUGGAAUUAGAGACAAAAAUUUUAGAGCAGCUGUCAAAACUAUGCCCAAGGAUUUAGAGGAAAAUAUACUCAUAAUGAAUGAAAAGAUAGGAAAUCACAGAAGAGAAAAACCAUAAAAAAGAACCAAAGGUUAAUGCUAACAUUGAAAAUAUAAUAUUUAAAAUGAAAUUUUUGCUGGAUAGCCUUAAGAUCAGAAUAGAGGCCAGGUGUGGUGGCUCACAUCUGUAAUCCCAGCACUUUGGGAGGUGGAGGCAGGUCGAUCACCUGAGGUUGGGAGUUUGAGACAAGCCUUACCAACAUGGAGAAACCCGGU